rnacentral:rRNA from 1 species
CGCCCGCCGGCGACCGGCGCACGGGUGAGUAACACGUAUGCAACCUGGCCGCCACAGGGGAUAACCCGCGGAAACGCGGCCUAAUACCCCGUGACGCCACCGGAGGGCGUCCUCCGGUGGCCAAAGGAGCGAUCCGGUGGGCGGAUGGGCAUGCGGCGCAUUAGCUAGACGGCGGGGUGACGGCCCACCGUGGCGACGAUGCGUAGGGGUUCUGAGAGGAAGGCCCCCCGCACUGGGACUGAGACACGGCCCAGACUCCUACGGAAGGCAGCAG